UAGCAUAACCCCUAAGCUCCACAUAUCAAU
rnacentral:piRNA from 1 species